UACGAAGGGGGCUAGCGUUGUUCGGAAUCACUGGGCGUAAAGGGAGCGUAGGCGGCCGAUCAAGUCGGGGGUGAAAGCCUGUGGCUUAACCACAGAAUGGCCUUCGAUACUGUUUGGCUUGAGACCGGAAGAGGUUAGUGGAACUGCGAGUGUAGAGGUGAAAUUCGUAGAUAUUCGCAAGAACACCAGUGGCGAAGGCGGCUGACUGGUCCGGUUCUGACGCUGAGGCGCGAAAGCGUGGGGAGCAAACAGG
rnacentral:rRNA from 1 species